rnacentral:rRNA from 1 species
UACGUAGGGGGCUAGCGUUGUCCGGAAUCAUUGGGCGUAAAGAGCGUGUAGGCGGUCCGGUAAGUCCGCUGUGAAAGUCGGGGGCUCAACCCUCGAAUGCCGGUGGAUACUGUCGGGCUAGAGUGCGGAAGAGGCGAGUGGAAUUCCUGGUGUAGCGGUGAAAUGCGCAGAUAUCGGGAGGAACACCAAUGGCGAAGGCAGCUCGCUGGGACGUUACUGACGCUGAGACGCGAAAGCGUGGGGAGCAAACAGG